rnacentral:rRNA from 1 species
UACGUAGGGGGCAAGCGUUGUCCGGAAUUAUUGGGCGUAAAGAGCGUGUAGGCGGUCCGGUAAGUCAGCUGUGAAAGUCAAGGGCUCAACCCUUGAAAGCCGGUUGAUACUGUCGGGCUAGAGUCUGGAAGAGGCGAGUGGAAUUCCCGGUGUAGCGGUGAAAUGCGCAGAUAUCGGGAGGAACACCAAUGGCGAAGGCAGCUCGCUGGGACGGUACUGACGCUGAGACGCGAAAGCGUGGGGAGCAAACAGG